UACGGGGGGGGGCAAGCGUUGUUCGGAAUUACUGGGCGUAAAGGGCUCGUAGGCGGCCAACUAAGUCCGACGUGAAAUCCCAAGGCUUAACCUUGGAACUGCGUCGGAUACUGGGCGGCUAGAGUCUGGUAGGGGGAUCUGGAAUUCCUGGUGUAGCGGUGGAAUGCGCAGAUAUCAGGAGGAACACCGGUGGCGAAGGCGGGAUCCUGGGCCAGUACUGACGCUGAGGAGCGAAAGCGUGGGUAGCAAACAGG
rnacentral:rRNA from 1 species